rnacentral:tRNA from 1 species
GCCCGGGUGGUGGAAUUGCUAGACACGUUGGACUUAAAAUCCAAUGAUCGCAAGAUCGUGCGGGUUGGAGUCCCGCCCCGGGUACCA